UACGUAGGGUGCGAGCGUUAAUCGGAAUUACUGGGCGUAAAGCGUGCGCAGGCGGUUCGUUAAGUUCGAUGUGAAAGCCCCGGGCUCAACCUGGGAAUGGCAUUGGAAACUGGCGGACUCGAGUGUGGCAGAGGGGGGUGGAAUUCCGCGUGUAGCAGUGAAAUGCGUAGAUAUGCGGAGGAACACCAGUGGCGAAGGCGAGUCCCUGGACAACACCUGACACUGAGGCACGAAAGCUAGGGGAGCAAACAGG
rnacentral:rRNA from 1 species